rnacentral:rRNA from 1 species
UGCAAGUAGAACGCUGAGAGAGGAGCUUGCUCUUCUUGGAUGAGUUGCGAACGGGUGAGUAACGCGUAGGUAACCUGCCUUGUAGCGGGGGAUAACUAUUGGAAACGAUAGCUAAUACCGCAUAACAAUGGAUGACACAUGUCAUUUAUUUGAAAGGGGCAAUUGCUCCACUACAAGAUGGACCUGCGUUGUAUUAGCUAGUAGGUGAGGUAAUGGCUCACCUAGGCGACGAUACAUAGCCGACCUGAGAGGGUGAUCGGCCACACUGGGACUGAGACACGGCCCAGACUCCUACGGGAGGCAGCAGUAGGGAAUCUUCGGCAAUGGGGGCAACCCUGACCGAGCAACGCCGCGUGAGUGAAGAAGGUUUUCGGAUCGUAAAGCUCUGUUGUAAGUCAAGAACGGGUGUGAGAGUGGAAAGUUCACACUGUGACGGUAGCUUACCAGAAAGGGACGGCUAACUACGUGCCAGCAGCCGCGGUAAUACGUAGGUCCCGAGCGUUGUCCGGAUUUAUUGGGCGUAAAGCGAGCGCAGGCGGUUUGAUAAGUCUGAAGUUAAAGGCUGUGGCUCAACCAUAGUUCGCUUUGGAAACUGUCAAACUUGAGUGCAGAAGGGGAGAGUGGAAUUCCAUGUGUAGCGGUGAAAUGCGUAGAUAUAUGGAGGAACACCGGUGGCGAAAGCGGCUCUCUGGUCUGUAACUGACGCUGAGGCUCGAAAGCGUGGGGAGCGAACAGGAUUAGAUACCCUGGUAGUCCACGCCGUAAACGAUGAGUGCUAGGUGUUGGAUCCUUUCCGGGAUUCAGUGCCGCAGCUAACGCAUUAAGCACUCCGCCUGGGGAGUACGACCGCAAGGUUGAAACUCAAAGGAAUUGACGGGGGCCCGCACAAGCGGUGGAGCAUGUGGUUUAAUUCGAAGCAACGCGAAGAACCUUACCAGGUCUUGACAUCCCGAUGCUAUUUCUAGAGAUAGAAAGUUACUUCGGUACAUCGGUGACAGGUGGUGCAUGGUUGUCGUCAGCUCGUGUCGUGAGAUGUUGGGUUAAGUCCCGCAACGAGCGCAACCCCUAUUGUUAGUUGCCAUCAUUCAGUUGGGCACUCUAGCGAGACUGCCGGUAAUAAACCGGAGGAAGGUGGGGAUGACGUCAAAUCAUCAUGCCCCUUAUGACCUGGGCUACACACGUGCUACAAUGGUUGGUACAACGAGUUGCGAGUCGGUGACGGCGAGCUAAUCUCUUAAAGCCAAUCUCAGUUCGGAUUGUAGGCUGCAACUCGCCUACAUGAAGUCGGAAUCGCUAGUAAUCGCGGAUCAGCACGCCGCGGUGAAUACGUUCCCGGGCCUUGUACACACCGCCCGUCACACCACGAGAGUUUGUAACACCCGAAGUCGGUGAGGUAACCUUUGGAGCCAGCCGCCUA